rnacentral:sRNA from 1 species
GGAUCCUGACAGUGAUCAACCUCUGAACAGCCUCGUCAAGGUGAUUCUGGAUAAAUACUACUUCCUCUGCGGGCAGCCUCUCCACUUCAUCCCGAGGAAGCAGCUGUGUGACGGGGAGCUGGACUGUCCCUUGGGGGAGGACGAGGAGCACUGUGUCAAGAGCUUCCCCGAAGGGCCUGCAGUGGCAGUCCGCCUCUCCAAAGACCGAUCCACGCUGCAGGUGCUGGACCCGGCCACAGGGAACUGGUUCUCUGCCUGUUUCGACAACUUCACAGAAGCUCUGGCUGAGACAGCCUGUAGGCAGAUGGGCUACAGCAGCAAACCCACUUUCAGAGCUGUGGAGAUUGGCCCAGACCAGGAUCUGGAUGUUGUUGAAAUCACAGAAAACAGCCAGGAGCUUCACGUGCGGAAUUCAAGUGGG